rnacentral:rRNA from 1 species
AACGAACGCUGGCGGCGUGCCUAACACAUGCAAGUCGAGCGGGAAAGUUCCCUUCGGGGAGCAAGUACAGCGGCGAACGGGUGAGUAACACGUAGGUAACCUACCUUGGAGAUCGGGAUAACCUGCCGAAAGGCGGGCUAAUACCGGAUAAGACCACGAGGGCUGCGGCCCUUGAGGAAAAAGAUGGCCUCUGCUUGCAAGCUAUCACUCUGGGAUGGGCCUGCGCGCCAUUAGCUAGUUGGUGAGGUAACGGCUCACCAAGGCUGAGAUGGCUAGCUGGUCUGAGAGGAUGGCCAGCCACACUGGGACUGAGACACGGCCCAGACUCCUACGGGAGGCAGCAGUGGGGAAUAUUGCGCAAUGGGCGAAAGCCUGACGCAGCGACGCCGCGUGGGUGAUGAAGGCCUCGGU